AAUGUCGUUGCCGCUGCUGCCUCCACCCCCUACGCUCUCAAGCGUGCCGCCGCUCUCCGUUGAUCUCGCCGUUUACCUCCUAGCCAUUGCUUUCCUUUGCCCUUGUGCUUUUACCUUUUUUUUUUUAAAACCCUAACCAUAGCUCUCAAUGUUUGCAGUCCAGAUGAUGGUUUCCUCCAAUAAGGUUUGGAGCCCUCGAUCUUUCACCCCGUCUAGUCCUUUUGAUCAGCGCCGGAGGUUGGAGGACUAGGACUUCUCGGUUGGUCCAGCACCGAUCUUGACUCUAACUCUCCUCUGUUUCACAUUGGCGACCUCGGUGGCGAUCCUCUCUUCUUUGGUACCGAUCUUCUUCUCCUUCUUACCAGCGUUGCGCUUCUUGCUUUUCUCUUUCUCAUCGGCAUGGGCCUUCUUGCCUUUGCCAAAGUAGAAUAUCAUGUUUUGGGAUGGUUCCAAGCGGCGGUGAGGAGGCUGAUCAUAUACACUCUUCUCUAUCUCUCGAUCUGUGUGCGUGUGUUCCUAUCUCUGUUUUAUGUUCUUCUCUGAAUCCCUCUACAAAGAUCCUGAGUUGAUUGAUGAUUCUGUGUUAUACCAGUAGCUUCUCAAAGAAUUCUUGGAAUCAUGUGAUCCUACAUCUUCAUUCAUCUCAUGAAGUCUCGGCAAAUUAUUAUAAUAGUUCUCUUAGUAUGCAUACUCAUAGUUGAGGUAGGCCACUCAUUUUUUGCACUUUUGCUCCAUCUUGAAAUUGUAUUCUUUCCAACCUUUUAUUCCUAUAAUAAGAUUGCCAUGAAGUGCAGUGUCUUCAUCAAGAUUUGUCAAUGCAAAGGACACCUUGUUGAAGUUACUUCGUCUUUGUGGAGAUUCGCUCUCUGUGAACUUUGUUAAUGUUGUUAAAAGAAGCUUACUGACAAAUUGACCAAGGUAGAGGAAAAGCUAAAAUUAACUGAGUCUUUUCUUGAAAACAAGAAUCUUGAAAUCAAGGAAAUAAAUGAAGAGAAAAAAAAAAAUCAAUGGCUGCUCAAUUUGCAGCAAAAGCUACACUUAAGAGAGUUCAUGCGGCACAAAAGGAUGAUGGCAUGCCUCCAAUUGAAGCCAUUCUUCCACACCUAGAUACAGAGCUUAAGCUUGCCCGCCAUGAGCUAUGUAGUGAAAAGUUUUGCCUCCUUUAAUUAAAUCUGGAAUGACUAUUUUUUAGAUAAUAAGUAUGACAGUAAAUGUCACAUGUGCAACUUUGUCAGUACACCACAUUAAUGAAAACAAGGU